GUUUUAUCUGUUGAUAGCUCAAUCAGUAGAGAAAUAGAUUCUUAAUCUCAGGGCUGUGAGUUCAAGCCCCACAUUGAGCA